rnacentral:lncRNA from 1 species
UGAAAAAUUGGGUUAAGGGAGGAUAUUGAUAAGUAACCCAAUAUUUUUGAUAAGUUUAGAUUUAUUUAUGUCAAGUUUAUCUCUUAAUAUUUUGUUGGUUAGACAUAAGAGAUAAGUUUAAAUCUGGUUCAGUUAUUAUUAUUAGGAUUUUGAUUUAUGCCUAUAUAUAGACGGCUGUAAAUGUGUGGGAAAUCAUCCACCAUCGAAAUUUAGCUAGGCCAAGAAUAUUUAAU